rnacentral:rRNA from 1 species
AGUCGUGCGAGAAGGAGACUUCGGUCUCUGAGUAGAGCGGCGCACGGGUGAGUAACGCGUGGAUGAUCUACCCUUGAGUUCGGGAUAACGGUGCGAAAGCGCCGCUAAUACCGUAUAACAAUCCAUUUCAUCGUGGGUUCAAAGCAGGCCUCUUCAUGAAAGCUUGCGCUUGGGGAUGAGUCCGCGUCCCAUUAGCUUGUUGGCGGGGUAACGGCCCACCAAGGCUACGAUGGGUAGCUGGUCUGAGAGGAUGAUCAGCCACACUGGAACUGAAACACGGUCCAGACUCCUACGGGAGGCAGCAGUGGGGAAUAUUGCGCAAUGGGGGAAACCCUGACGCAGCGACGUCGUGUGAGGGAAGAAGGCCUUCGGGUCGUAAACCUCUGUCAGAAGGGAAGAACAUCCGGGAGUCGAACAGCCUCCCGGCCUGACGGUACCUUCAGAGGAAGCGCCGGCUAACUCCGUGCCAGCAGCCGCGGUAAUACGGAGGGCGCAAGCGUUAAUCGGAAUCACUGGGCGUAAAGCGUGCGUAGGCUGUUUGAUAAGUCAGACGUGAAAUCCCUCGGCUCAACCGGGGAACUGCGUUUGAUACUGUUGGACUAGAGUCCUGGAGAGGGUGGCGGAAUUCCUGGUGUAGGAGUGAAAUCCGUAGAUAUCAGGAGGAACACCGGUGGCGAAGGCGGCCACCUGGACAGGUACUGACGCUGAGGUACGAAAGCGUGGGGAGCAAACAGGAUUAGAUACCCUGGUAGUCCACGUGGUAAACGAUGGAUGCUAGGUGUCGGGGAGCGAUCUUCGGCGCCGCAGCUAACGCAUUAAGCAUCCC